UUCUCAGUCUGUUUCCUAGUGCCGGUUUGAAUUCCUGCGGUUUACACUGUAAAACCGAGUUGGAGCUUGUACCUCGCCUUAUAUAUGUAUGGUUUGGAGUUUGUAAUUGAAAAGAAACUUUGUGUUC